CGGGUUGAGCGACAGGGAUGUGCGCUGAGCUGGAGGUGGGGACGCUGGUGCAGGUAGCGGAGGCCCUGGAGAGUGUGUUGUCCCCGUGCUUCGGUCCACAAGGUGGCCAGGUACUGUUCACCAGUGCCACCGGUGAGAUGCUCAUCACCAGGGAUGGGGCGACUAUCCUGGACUCACUGAUGCUGGAGCACCCCGUUGCAAGGUCAGUCUCCCCCUGUACCCGGUUACUCCUAGUGCCAACACACCCCCUGUACCCGGUUACUCCUAGUGCCAACACUCCCCCUGUACCCGCUACUCCUAGUGCCAACACACCCCCUGUACCCGGUUACUCCUAGUGCCAACACUCCCCCUGUACCUGCUACUCCUAGUGCCAACACUCCCCCUGUACCCGCUACUCCUAGUGCCAUCACUCCCCCUGUACCCGCUACUCCUAGUGCCAACACUCCCCCUGUACCCAGCUACUCCUAGUGCCAACACUCCCCCUGUACCCGGUUACUCCUAGUGCCAUCACUCCCCCUGUACCCGCUACUCCUAGUGCCAACACUCCCCCUGUACCCGCUACUCCCAGUUACAACACUCCC